AUAAAGGCUACGAUAAAGGGAUAGUAGUUGGCAGAGAUUUACCAGAGAGGGGCCACUUGGUGGAAGGUCCUAUAUCAAAACUGAUGAACCAGCCUUUUAGCUUGGAGAGGUAACAAUCUCCACGGUUUGAACCGUUAUAUUCUAUCGAGGGAGUCAGGAUAUCCUGACUAAUAAGAGUGGUACCGCGGAAACUAACAGCCUUUCGUCUCUUUU
rnacentral:ncRNA from 1 species